rnacentral:lncRNA from 1 species
UGAGAUUAUCUGAGAAACUUGCAAAAAGGAUACCAAUGGUCAGGGAGUACCUCAGACCAACUCGAUCAGAUUUCUGGUGGUUGGCAUGGGGAUUGGGAUUGUAUGGAAAUGUUCUCCAGGUGACUUUAAUAGCAGCUGGCCAAGUCUGCAUUUGUGGAAAUCUGCAGUAUUUGAAGUUUGGAGGAGAUCAAUUUUUCAUCCUUUCCUUCGUGGGAUAAAGAAUAUUUCAACCACCUCUGGAGACCAAAGAGUUCUGAGAAGUUUUGAAAUAGCUUGGGAAAUACACCACGUGCUUCACACUUCAUUUUUCUCCUCUCUCUUUCAUUGUUUGACUUAAUUAAAAUAUUGUAAUGCAAGAAGGAGAGAUGAGGCAAACGUUUAGAGAAGGAAAAGGAAAUGGGUUCAUGUUUAAACUGACUCUGAGCAAGCAUGGCGAUGGUAGUUUGAAAGAAUUCUGAGCAUGUAGGAAGGUAAACUCAAAAUGUUCUUCCUGCCUGAGAAGUGAUUAAAAUACCUGUGAGCAC